CCUUGACAGCCGCAUUUCGCGUCUGACUUAACCCACGACAAGGAGAUCAAAAUG
rnacentral:sRNA from 12 species